rnacentral:rRNA from 1 species
AUGUUUGCUGCUCAGAGUCAAGCUCAAGCCAUAAAUACCCGCAUCGAGCUGACCAAUCUUCAGAAAGGUAAUAUGACAAUGGCUGAAUACCUUGGCAAAAUUAAAAGUCUUAUAGAUGAAGUUGCCUGCACCGCCGCCGCGCUCUCCGAUCCGGAGAUCGUCUCCAAAAUUCUCGCCGGACUGGACAUGGAAUAUAAUCCUGUCGUCUCGGCGCUUUCUGCUCGGGUGGAACCGGUCACGGUUCAGGAGCUCUACAGCCAGCUCCUGAGCUUUGAUGCCCGCCUCAGUCUUCUUCACGGCACCAACCUUCGCCAAUCCUCUGCCAAUGCUGCCUCUCGUGGUCGCGGCCGUGGGCGCGGUAACCAGGGACAGCCCCGCACCGGUGGGCGCGGGCGUGGCCACUUUCAGGGAGAUGGCGGCUACAACAGCUCUGGUGGCGGCGGCUACCACAACUCCAGCAACUACACCAAUAAACCAGCAGGCGGCAGCUCCAACAACAACUCCGGCCGCCGCUCCUCUUCUUCCCGGGGACGUCCUCGGUGCCAACUCUGCAAAAAGGCAGGACAUGAAGUUGUGGAUUGCUGGCAUAGGUAUGAUGAAGAUUUUGUCCCCGACGCACGUCUUGUUGCUGCAGCUAUGCGCGAGCAAGGGGGCGAUGGCAUGUGGUAUGUAGACUCUGGUGCAACCGACCACGUCACUGGUGAACUAGAGCAACUCGCCCUCUGGGAGAAAUACCUUGGCAACGAUCAGAUUCACACUGCAAGUGGUGGAGGAUCGGGCAACGAGGGAACUUCUACAUCACGGCAGAUGCAUUGGAGGGCUCUACCCCAUCUCAUCCGGAGUUUUCAAUCACAGACGUCGUCAUGCUUGUUCUGUCAUCAAGCCCUCCUUGGCACGGUGGCAUCAAAGAUUAGGACACCCAUCAUCAGUCAUAGUCAAGCAAGUAGUUAA